UUUNGAUUUUNGCCAUGGGCGAAGCCUGAUCCAGCAAUGCCGCGUGUGUGAAGAAGGCCUUCGGGUUGUAAAGCACUUUUGUCCGGAAAGAAAUCCUUGGCUCUAAUACAGUCGGGGGAUGACGGUACCGGAAGAAUAAGCACCGGCUAACUACGUGCCAGCAGCCGCGGUAAUA
rnacentral:rRNA from 1 species